rnacentral:rRNA from 1 species
UACGAAGGGUGCAAGCGUUAAUCGGAAUUACUGGGCGUAAAGGGUGCGUAGGCGGUUGUUUAAGUCUGUCGUGAAAUCCCCGGGCUCAACCUGGGAAUGGCGAUGGAAACUGGGCAGCUAGAGUGUGUCAGAGGAUGGUGGAAUUCCCGGUGUAGCGGUGAAAUGCGUAGAUAUCUGGAGGAACACCGGUGGCGAAGGCGGCAUCCUGGACCGGCAUUGACGCUGAGGCGCGAAAGCCAGGGGAGCAAACGGG